GUAGAUAGAACCACCUAUUCAUUCAUUGAGGAUAGGCUUCAUGUGUUAUAAAAAUAGAGGAAUUCUUGAGUCCCAUACUGCUUUACUCCCUUAAGUUUUCUUGCUCUAUUUUUAUAGUUUACGAUUACUCUUCUCUCGACUCUUGUUGCUUUUCAUCGCUUGCACUUGAAGUUGGUGGGAAAUCAUCGAGUUUAAUCUCCGAAGAAAAGUCCUAGUUCGCUGCUUCAGAAAACGGGAGCCUUGGAGUAACUGGUAAAGUUGCUGCCAUGUGAUCAGGAAGUCAUGGUUCAAGCCUUAGAAACAGCCUUUGGCAAAAAUGCAAGGAACCAGACGUUUGACUCCUCCUUCAUAGUACUUGAUUCGGGGAGAGCUUAAUAGACUGAAGUGGUGAGCUUCCAUCAUUUCGAAAGGCAUCAUUUCAUAUUAGACAUUCUUACAUAUUUUAUUAGACAUUCUUACAUAUUUUACUUUCUUUCUGGAUAUUGGUUUUGGCCAUGGUUGGGGGCAUAUCCCAACUAAAUAUUUGUGUUCUCUUGGAUAGAGGCUUUGUGGUACUUUUGGCGGUUGAUAUGGGCGGGAUCGGUGUUGGUGUCAUCGUUGGCAUUGGAAUAAGCUGGGAGGUUGGCAUCAUCGGACAUAAUUUCUCACCAUUUCAUCGUAUUACAUUUUGGGAUUUAUUAUCAUAUUAUGUUUUGAUAUUCUCUUUGGUUUGGUGUGGUAUGGAUGGUAGGUUUGGUAUGGUCAGACUUGGUUGGGUCGGUCAUGGUGGUGAUCCUAUCCUAGAGUCCUCAUGAGAGCAUUAUGUAAUCUUGUUAUAUGCUCGAAAUUCAGCCAAUCUAAGGUUGUAUAAGGUGGUUAGGUGGGAUUAAGGGGGUGGCCUCCGGUCCUAGGUGAACUUGGGAUGCCCAUUACGAUAAGGCCCCGGUCUGGGCUGCGUCAUUUUCAUUGCCCCUGUACAGUAUUAGGUGGUUGAGCAUGUACGUUGAGUUGUUGUAAAGUGGUAGGCUCCAUCCUUCGGAAGGCUUUAUCAUUUCAUUAUUCUUCCUUAUUUACUCAGUACCUUUUAAUUCUUUUGGUCAUGGUCGGGAGCAUGUCCUGACUUAGGUGUUAUUUUGGUUUUACAGGCUUCCAUGGAUAGAUGUGGAUUGGUUGGUUGUUGUUGACUCUUGGUCUUCAUUGAGUUAUAUAUUCAUCUUUUUAUUCUAUUUCAUUGGCUUUUGUAUUAUUAUUAUUAUUAUCAUUAUUAUUAUUAUUAUUAUCAUCAUUAUCAUUA